CAGAGAAUAGUUUAUAUUAAAAUAAUAAUUUUGGAGAUUAUUGAUAAAGAAUUAUCUUUUUCUCUGA
rnacentral:tRNA from 1 species